rnacentral:rRNA from 1 species
AUUGAACACUGGCGGCAGGCCUAACACAUGCAAGUCGAACGAGUGGCGGACUGGUGAGUAAUUUCUGGGAAACUGCCUGAUGGAGGGGGCUAACUACUGGAAACGGUAGCUAAUACCGCAUACCAUCCGAUUUGCCCAGAUGGGAUUAGCGUGUUGGUGGGGUAACGGCUCACCAAGGCGCCGAUCCCUAGCUGGUCUGAGAGGAUGACCAUACACACUGGACCUGAGACACGGGACAGACUCCUACGGGAGGCAGCAGGGGGGAAUAUUGCACAAUGGGCGCAAGCCUGCUGAACCCAGGCCGCGUGUAUGAAGAAGGCCUUCGGGUUGUAAAGUACUUUCAGCGGGGAGGCGUUACCCGCAGAAGAAGCACCGGCUAACUCCGUGCCAGCAGCCGCGGUAAUUC